GCUAAGUGAUUAUAAGUUAUGUUCUUUAAAAUUUAAAAAUUUGGCGGUAUUUUAGUCUUUUCAGAGGAAUCUGUUCUGUAAUCGAUAGUCCACGAUUAGAAUAUACUUUUGUUUUAAAUUUGCAUAUCGUUGUAGCUUGAGUAUUUUAGGAGAAAUUGAAUAUUCAAUAGUUUUUAUUAAAAUUAAAAUCAAAUCAAGGUGCAGUUUAUAUAAAAGAAGAAAUGGAUUACAAUAAUUAAUAUAAUUAAGGAUAAUUUUUUUUAUAAAAGUUUGAAUUUGGAUUUGAAAGUAAUUUUAUUAAUU
rnacentral:rRNA from 1 species